GCCCUCAUAGCUCAAUUGGUAGAGCAAUUCCCUUUUAAGGAAUUGGUUCCGCGUUCGAGUCGCGGUGAGGGCACAA
rnacentral:tRNA from 15 species